GUUUCCGUAGUGUAGUGGUCAUCACGUAUGCCUCACACGCAAAAGGUCCCCAGUUCGAAACUGGGCGGAAACA
rnacentral:tRNA from 1 species